UAAUACGUAGGUGGCAAGCGUUGUCCGGAUUUACUGGGCGUAAAGGGUGCGUAGGUGGAUAUUUAAGUCAGAUGUGAAACCCCUGGGCUCAACUCAGGGACUGCAUUUGAAACUGGAUAUCUUGAGUGCGGGAGAGGUAAGUGGAAUUCCUAGUGUAGCGGUGAAAUGCGUAGAGAUUAGGAAGAACACCAGUGGCGAAGGCGACUUACUGGACCGUAACUGACACUGAGGCACGAAAGCGUGGGUAGCAAACAGG
rnacentral:rRNA from 1 species